GGGAAGGUAGUCCAGUGGUAGAAUGCUUGCCUUGCAUGCAUGAAGCCCUGGGUUCAAUUCCUCAGCUCCA
rnacentral:tRNA from 1 species